rnacentral:lncRNA from 1 species
UUAUUACCAGGGAAGCACAAAGAACAGAAUCAAUACAGGUCAAGAAUGAGUGACAGGGGGAAGGUGAGGUAGACAUGGUUUGGUUUUUCACUGAUGAAAAGAGUUACAUCUUGGAGGAUGAAGAUUUUCGUGGGGAAAAACUCUUCUGCCUGUUCCUGGCUUCCUCUUCCCUCUCUCCUCACUCCAAAGCAAGGUGAGAAAAUUCAGGCUUUCUUCUCCCUCUCUCUCCUCAGGCCUCUGAAUGACAUUUGACAGGUUCUUCAGAGCCUGUCCUGAGCACUGCUGCCCAGGAAAAGACUCUCCUUUAAGUCACAAUUCCAGGCCUUUUUUCUCCAGCUGCUGUCCAGAUGGAAGUUUGGGGCUCAGGCCCAACUGCCUGCACCCACAUCGGCACUCUAAGAAUUCCAGGAGAUGUGUUUGGAAGCUAACGAAGAUCCCCCUUCUCUGAGCGGGGCACUGAGAACCCUGUUUGCAUGUCUCUUUGAUCCUUCCCAGUAGGCUACAGAUGACUGGACCAGGGUGGGCACCUGCCUCACUCUGAGCCAAUCAGAUCCUCUCCUGGGAGUUUGGGAUUGGAUCUGCCAAGCCCCAAGUUCUCUCUCUCCAUGUGGCUGAAACCAAGGGACACAAUACAGGAACUAUAGGUGGCUUGGUGCCUGAAAAGGCAGAGAUAUCCAGUCUGUGGAUACAGAAAGGCAGGGUGCAGAGAAUGGCUGCUUCAAGUUCCCUUGGCCCUCCAGGUCCCGCCUUCCUGAAGCUAAUGGUUUUCCUUCCCCUUAGUUCCAGGGAAUCCCUUCUGUCCUUGUAAUAAGCCCUUCUUUAUUACUGAAGCUGGUUUGAGUGGGUUUCUGUAUAUAAGCAAAGACCUAAUUAAGACAAGAGAGAAGCUGGGAGCCGGAGGUACGCAGAUGAACAAUCCUGAAAAAAUAAUCACUGUGCCUACGUCGGAGAAGCCCAGUGCAGUGGGAGACAGCGAGUAAGAGAUGUAGACUUUGCACAGAUGUGGCAGAGGGAGGGUGGGCUAACUCUGCCUGGGGAGGAGCGGAAGGGCUCCACAGGCUUCACAGCGAAGGUAGCAGCUGAGCCGAUUUUGAAGAAUUAAGGACAUUCUCCAUGGAGACAAAGUAGGGGUGGGGAGGCAUUACAAGCAAAGGGAACAGCAAGUGCAGAUGCACAGAGACCCAAAACAGCCUGGUGUCUUAGAGGGACUGGAGUUCAAAGUGUGGCGGGGAAGCAGGGAAGACAGGCAGUCAGGCGCACAUCAUAAAGGGCUUUGAAUACCAUGAUAAGAAGCCGAGGCCUUUUCCUGUCAGUGACAGGGAGCUAUUGAAGUAUUUUAAGUAGCAGGGGGUGACGGGGUCAGUUCUGUGUUUUAGAAAGAUUGUUCUGGGGCUGCUUGGAGAAAGGGCUGGAAAAGGCAGGCCUGGAGGCAAGGACCAGUUAGGAGGCUGCAGCACUCCUCAUCUAGUCCCUUCAUUCAUCUAACAGCUCACUGUGUACCUACUAUGUGCCGGGGUGAGGCAAAACGGAUUCCUGAGCCCACAGAGUUCACAGCCUAGCAUGAAAUAGACAUGAGGGAAAAGCGAUUUGAGUGUGCUGAAUGUUAUGAAGAAGUACAAGGUCCUCUGGAGCAGGGUGCUGUUUACUGUCUGGUUUUUAGGCUUCCCUGCGGAAAUGACGUUCGAGCUGGUAUCUAUCUGAAGGAUAAGUAGGAGUUAGCAGGGCCCCAAGAGGGGGCGUGCAUUCCAGGAUUGGGGACAACACGUGUGGAAGUCCUGCAGCUGAGGGAGAGUGGCAGAAGAAGACACAAAAAGGUAGGCAAGGACCAGAUCCCACAGGGCCUCGGAGACUGCGUCAGUGCAUCUGGCUUUCAUUCCAAGAAGGCUUGGAAGGGUCCUAAGCAGGGAAAUGACACAAUCCAACGUUUAUCCUAAGAAGACCAUGAAAGAAAGCGGGGCAAGAACAAAUGUCAGGAGACCAGGACCUCACAGGCACCACGGCGCCCCCUGCCCUGCCCUGCCCUGAAGCAGUUCCAGGAACGUCAGAUGGUAAGAGAAGAAACGACUUACAAACGUCAAGUCCAUUUUACAGAUGGAAAAUCUGAAGCUCAGAUAGGAGAAAAGACUUGCCCAAGUGCCUGGUAUGAAGAGAAAGACUUUAUAAUGUCCCUUUCAGACAGAAGGAAGUAGAGUGGCCGGCCCUGAAGCCCAAGUUAACCUGCUUCCCCUGCGCUCUCUACUUCUAGAGCAAUGGUUUUAAACUUGGGGCGAUUUUGCCCCCCAGGGAACAUUCGACCAUGUCUGGAGACAUUUUUGGUUUUCCCAACGAGGAGGUUGCUACUGGCGUCUCAUGAGAAGAGACCAGGGAUGCUGCUACACGCCUUCAAUGCACAGGACAGCCCCUGCGCCAGAGAAUUGUCAGGCCCGAAAUGUCAGCAGGUUUCUGAGGUUGAGAAACUCUGUUCUAGGGCCUGGCAUCUGCCUAUAUAAACUUCCAAAUAGACUCCUGGAGUCCUGGGUUCUUCUGCAGCCCGGGAGGAUACUGUAUGAAGUCUUUCCUAGGGUCGUGCCUGCCCCAACUUGUAUAUUUAACCUUGCUUAGGACUGGUCAGUUCCACUCUUGGGCUCCAGUGUUUUGAAUUCCACCCACUGACAGAGAGGACAGAAUAAUUAAUAUUUGCUGGAGGCAUGUAAAACCAGUAGUCUCCCUGCUGAGGGCAUGAAUUAAAAUGUAAAUGGGA